ACUACGGGAGGCAGCAGUGGGGAAUAUUGCACAAUGGGGGUAACCCUGAUGCAGCGACGCCGCGUGAGUGAAGAAGUAUCUCGGUACGUAAAGCUCUAUCAGCCGGAGAGAAAAUGACGGUACCUGUCUAAGAAGCCCCGGCUAACUACGUGCCAGCAGCCGCGGUAAUACGUAGGGGGCCAGCGUUAUCCGGAUUUACUGGGUGUAAAGGGGGAGUAGACGGGGAUGCAAGUCCGGGGGGAAAGCCGAUGGCUUAACCAUGGUACUGCUCUGGACACUGUAGAGCUUGAGUGGGGGAGGGGCAGGCGGAAUGCGUGGGGUAGCGGUGAAAUGCAUAGAUAUUAGGAGGAACACCGGCGGCGAAGGCAGCCUGCUGGGCCAUAACUGACGUUGAGGCACGAAAGCGUGGGGAGCAAACAGGAUUAGAUACCCUGGUAGUC
rnacentral:rRNA from 1 species